CAGCAGCCACGGUAAUACGGAGGGUGCAAGCGUUAUCCGGAUUUAUUGGGUUUAAAGGGUCCGUAGGCGGAUCUGUAAGUCAGUGGUGAAAUCUCACAGCUUAACUGUGAAACUGCCAUUGAUACUGCAGGUCUUGAGUAAAUUUGAAGUGGCUGUAAUAAGUAGUGUAGCGGUGAAAUGCAUAGAUAUUACUUAGAACACCAAUUGCGAAGGCAGGUCACUAAGAUUUAACUGACGCUGAUGGACGAAAGCGUGGGGAGCGAACAGGAUUAGAUACCCCCGUAGUCCCUGUCUCUUAUAC
rnacentral:rRNA from 1 species